rnacentral:rRNA from 1 species
UAUAGCAGCCAUAUCACCCUGCAGCCCAAAGACUGGUUGCCCACUGAAGCUAAGCAGGGUUGAGCCUGGUCAGUACCUGGAUGGGAGACCUCCUGGGAAAACUAGGUUGCUGCUGGAA